UCGUAGCAUCCUCCGCCACACCCACAUU
rnacentral:sRNA from 1 species